UGGGUGCAUGUUUGUGAUGAAGAUGAUUAAUAGUGUAAUGGAUAAAGGUUUAUUUGAUUACUAGUGACUUUAUAGUUUAAUAUAUAGGUGUCUGAAAUAAAAUGAAUAAACAAAAUAAGGAUUAAGUGAUUAAUGAGAAGUUUACAUGGACAUAUUGAAAGUUUUGGAUAAUGGCUAAAGUCUAAGUCCAGAGCAUAAAGGAAUUUUACUUCAUAAUUUUGUGAGACAUUUCAUGAUAAAAUUAUUUUACAAAAAAAAAAAACACAAAUUACAAAGAUUUUUUAAGUGUCUAAAAUAUUUAUCCUUUGUGUUCUUAAUGGAUUUGGAAUGUGUAUCGAUAAGACACAUGUCAAGAUUCUAGGAAAAUUUUUGUCUGGCAAGUUAGUAAGGACAAAAAAAAUUCAUAUACAAAAUUUUUUCUAAGUCCAUAAAAGAAUUGAUGAUCUUUUUAGGAGUAUAUAAAAAAGUACGAUUAAGUUAUACUUCUUGAUUGAGUUCUUUAUAUAAAACUAAAGAGAUAGGGUCAUUGUGUCCAAGUAUUGGAAGAGGCAUGACAAAUAAUUAUAUCAUAAAAGAGAAGUCACAAUGGUUAUAUGACUUGAAUGUCCAUUAUGGGCAAAACUGUCGCAUGGAUUAAAGUCUCUUCAUAGACCGAGUAAGUACACAAAUCCUCCUAAAUUCAAAAAUUUGAUAGACAUAAUAUGUCAUCUUGUUGGAAGACAACUUGCCCUUUGACCAAGUUUCAUCUAACUUGUGUAGGUAAAAAAGACUUUAUAGUGGUAGUAAUUGACCAUUUGCUCAAGUUGAAGUCAAAUUUAUGUGUAGAUGCAUGACCUUUUGGUCAAGCUCUAAGCGAAUCUCUAUGACCGAGAAGAAGUUACUUUCUAGGACUUAAUUGUCUUAAUUUGUCAUGUUACUUAUCCUUUGCAUUUUUGUGUUGCAUUAACGAGGGGUUUUGGAUUAUGAUUUCUUUUGGCAAGUGAAAUAAUACUUCAUUAAAUGAAUAUGACUUUGCUACUCACAUGUUAUCACCCUAGUGAUUGUUGAGGGGAUGUGAAGCACCAAGGGUCAACUUUCUUGGAGGGAAAUAUCGCUUGAAAAAGACUUUUAUUUUAAAACUCCAUGACUCCCUACAUUUCGCUUUUAUUUUUUCUUACUUGCCUCAUGUUUCCUCUUCUUCAAGUUAUCUUCUCCUUUGCAACUCUCUGCAUUUCCAUCUUCAAGGUUUUCUCCUCAGGCCAUUCCUAAAAUUUGAUUCAAGCCUACGUCUCUGCUUCUUUGCUAUUAGGUAUGUCUUCUUCAUCCAACUCUUGUUUAGGUCACCCUCUAAUAGAAAGGGAGGUUACCCUAUGGAUGAGUAAUAACACCUCAUUUCAGAUUUGUGGCAAAACUAUUUUCGAACAGAAAAGGACUAAACCCCAACAGCUAAAUUGAAGCAGUACAGGAAAAUGGAUGGUAAUGGUUUUGUAGAAACGAAGGAAGUCACAUCACUAGGAGGAGGUUUCAAGAUAAGUGAGAAAGAUAUGCCGCUUUGAAUGCUAACACUCAAAGAUAAGGACCGAAGUCCUAAAGAACACAGAUUAUCGUCACACCACUCUACGAUUAUCGUCAGAUCACUCAAAUCAACACUCGAGAUAAGUGAAUCUUUGAAAUUUAUCACACCACCCACUAUAGUUGUGAUAUAAGUGAGAAUCUCCAAAAAAUAAAAAUGUGUCAUCACCUCGCCACUCACAAUUGCAUGAGGUAGUAUUCAUCACUCCAACCCCAAAUCCAACUUUUGUUUCACAUCAGGCUCCACUUCAUUUGUUCUAAAAGAAGAAAAAAACAUCUUGAUGCAUUGCCAAUUUGCAGAGGUUACUUUGGUUGUUGCCACCACAUGGACCAUGAACUUGAUGAUGUCUUAACUUUGGAUGAAAGGUCCAAAUUCUGAAUCAGAACAAGACAAAAAAUUAUGCAGCUUCUAAUUCAUCAAUUUUGUUUGCUACAUUGGCCAACAUUUAGAAGUAAUUCCACUUCAAGCCACGUGCCUAUGCGAAAACUUUAAUU
rnacentral:lncRNA from 1 species